AUUGAACGCUGGUGGCAUGCUUUACACAUGCAAGUCGAACGGUAACAGGCCGCAAGGUGCUGACGAGUGGCGAACGGGUGAGUAAUGCAUCGGAACGUGCCCAGUCGUGGGGGAUAACGCAGCGAAAGUUGCGCUAAUACCGCAUACGAACUAUGGAUGAAAGCGGGGGACCGUAAGGCCUCGCUCGAUUGGAGCGGCCGAUGUCAGAUUAGGUAGUGGGUGGGGUAAAGGCUCACCAAGCCGACGAUCUGUAGCUGGUCUGAGAGGAAGACCAGCCACACUGGGACUGAGACACGGCCCAGACUCCUACGGGAGGCAGCAGUGGAGAAUUUUGGACAAUGGGCGCAAGCCUGAUCCAGCAAUGCCGCGUGCAGGAAGAAGGCCUUCGGGUUGUAAACUGCUUUUGUACGGAACGAAACGGUCCUGGUUAAUACCCGGGGCUAAUGACGGUACCGUAAGAAUAAGCACCGGCUAACUACGUGCCAGCCGCCGCCGUAACAC
rnacentral:rRNA from 1 species